rnacentral:rRNA from 1 species
UACGUAGGGGGCAAGCGUUGUCCGGAAUCAUUGGGCGUAAAGAGCGUGUAGGCGGUUCGGUAAGUCUGCUGUGAAAGUCCAGGGCUCAACCCUGGAAAGCCGGUGGAUACUGUCGGACUAGAGUGCGGAAGAGGCGAGUGGAAUUCCCGGUGUAGCGGUGAAAUGCGCAGAUAUCGGGAGGAACACCUAUUGCGAAGGCAGCUCGCUGGGACGUUACUGACGCUGAGACGCGAAAGCGUGGGGAGCAAACAGG